CUGGGACGCGCAUAAUCCUGUCCUCACGAAAGCCGUCAGACCACCACGUAGAUUAUAACUCGGCGGAUCAUCACUUUUCCCCCCCCUCCCAGGUUGUUUGUAUUUAACCAAACGCAGACAGUGACAGUCUUAAGUUCCCCUCAGAACCAAAACAGCACACAGCAGCUGCAGCAGCCGGACUGAACACCUUAACAUGUCGUUGUUUCUCGGUUUCCACUCGUGCCUGUUGCGCUGUGGACUCGAGACAUUUGCAGCACAUGGUGCGCUGUUACGAGAUGUGAAUCAAAGCGGGAAGAGCUUCCAAAAUUCACACCCUGACCGGACAUUUACCAUCUCUGCUCUUAUAAUUGGCAGUAAGAUGGGGUUUGAGCUACAAGCACAAACAAUUUUGGCCAAAGAGCGAAAUUAGGCAAACACAGGCUGGCGGUUGUACAACGCAACAGAUUUCCCCUCUCUGGUUUUUCCACAUGGAGACUACCUGACAUGCUGCUGAAGCCGUGAUGGAGGGAGGAGGUUAUAGGCCAGUGCCCCCCCUUCCCCCUCCCCCUCCCCCAGCCCCUCUCCUCGAUGCAUGUUAUAUAGCAGGUGAGAAACAUUAAUAGAGGCAGCAGCUGCAGCCCUCUGCUCCACACAUGUGGGCCAGGAUAUGAGCUAGCUUGAGCUCUCCCACUCUUAACUCUGGACAGUUAAUGUUAUCAAGAACCACAGAAAACUGUACUGACAAACUGAAACCAAAAUUAAUCUACUUGCUUAUUUUUCACGUUAAUCAUGAGAAAUAAGCAAGCUUCUCAGGCACCACCCACCCUAGCUUCUAAAAGGUAUGUGAUAUCUGUGAAUAUAAUCAUAUAUUUUAAUAUUUUUGAGGUUAGAGUUGUUUACUGGUUGCAUUUGAAUUGUGGAAAUAUUUUGGCUAUGCAAAUUUCUUGAGACAUGUGUGCCUUGUUGGAUCAUUUGAAUUCCCCCCUCAGCUUGGGACAUGAACUGGAAGACCCAGUUGUCACAUUGUGUUCUGAACACACAGACUUUGGUCACAGCGGUGAGGUGUCCCAGAGGAGAGUGGCAUGUUUCUGUGAAUCAUAACCGCUGUUCUGUGUUCAGUGAGCUGUGUCGAAGCGGAUUACCUGCAUGAACGGGGACCUGAAAGGACUUUGUUUUUAAAGACUGUCCUUUGGGGUGAGGUAGUAGGUUGUAUAGUUUUAGGGUCAUACCCUUCCUGUCAGAUAACUAUACAACUUACUGUCUUUCCUGAAGUGGCUGUAAUGUCGUCAGAUCCCUUUGCUGGAGCGCAUGGAUCCAGAGCAGCCCACUGAUUUCUAACAGCGUUUGAUAGCAGUGAGUCAUUGAGGAUUGCAGCCGCUUUAAGUCGAUCAUUUUCCGUUUUUCUUCAUUUUCAUUGAUGUUUAGGAAUUGACUGUCAAUAAAAUAUGAUUGUGUUUUCAUU